rnacentral:tRNA from 1 species
CUCCGCAUGGUGUAGUUGGUUUAUCACGUUCGGCUGUAACUGAAUAAUUGCCACCGAAAGGUCCCUAGUUCGAUUCUGGGUGGGGAGA